rnacentral:tRNA from 1 species
UCUAAUAUGGCAGAUUAGUGCAAUGAAUUUAAAUUUCAAAUAUAAAGUUUAAACUUUUUUUAGAA